GUCCGGUUAACUCAGUGGUAGAGUGUCUCCCUUUUAAGGAGAAAGUCGGAGGUUCGAGCCCUCCACCGGACACCA
rnacentral:tRNA from 2 species